UUAUCGGUACGGGUUGUGGGAGCAAGAUCCCGGAGAUGGAUUCUGAGACAUGAAUCCAGGCCCUACGGGGCGCAGCAGGCGCGCAAACUUUACAAUGCGAGCAAUCGUGAUAAGGAAACCCUGAGUGCCUGUCGAUGCAGGCUGUUCAUAUAUUUAAAUUGUAUGUGAAGAAAGGGCAGGGCAAGACCGGUGCCAGCCGCCGCGGUAAUACCGGCUGCUCGAGUGAUGGCCACUAUUACUGGGUUUAAAGCGUCCGUAGCUUGAUUUUUAGGUCUCUUGGGAAAUCUUUUGGCUUAACCACAAGGCGUCUAAGAGAUACCGGAAAUCUUGGAACUGGGAGAGGUAAGCCGUACUUCGGGGGUAGGAGUGAAAUCUUGUAAUCCUCGAGGGACGACCUAUGGCGAAGGCAGCUUACCAGAACAGCUUCGACAGUGAGGGACGAAAGCUGGGGGAGCAAACGGGAUUAGAUACCCCGGUAGUCCCAGCCGUAAACAAUGUGCGUUAGGUGUGUCGGUUACCACGCGUAACUGAUGCGCCGAAGAGAAAUCGUGAAACGCACCACCUGGGAAGUACGGUCGCAAGGCUGAAACUUAAAGGAAUUGGCGGGGGAGCACCACAACAGGUGGAGCCUGCGGUUUAAUUGGAUUCAACGCCGGACAUCUCACCGGAUAAGACAGCUGAAUGAUUGUC
rnacentral:rRNA from 1 species